CGGCAUUUCAUUUUCCAAUUUCCCCCGCGGCAAAAAUCCUCAGCUCUUCACAGAGAGAGAAAAACGAAGAAAAGGAAGAACGCAAGGAAUUCCGAUCGAUUGCCGGAGAGCGAACGUUGAAUAGGCGACGGAUCCGUUUCGAUGGCGACGGUAAUUGACGGGCCGGGCGGCGGAGGGACUCUGUCGGAGCUCUACCAGAGCGCGAAGAGAGUUCUGCUCAGGGCCAGGGACGGGAUUGAGCGGCUCGAGAGGCUCGAGAGCUCCACGGCCGGCGGAGGAUUGGACUCGCCGGAGCUGUCGAACUCGAUCAAGAGGGAUAUCUCUCAGAUCCAGUCGCUAUGCAUCGAGAUGGACCGCCUCUGGCGCUCCAUCGCCGCCAAGUCCCAGCGCGAUCUCUGGAAGAGGAAGGUGGAACAGGUAGCUGAAGAGGCAGAGUCCUUGAGAGAAGGUCUUGAUAGGUACUUCUCAAGAAAUCAAAAGAGAAUGAUGGAAGCGAAAGAGAGGGCAGAGCUGCUUGGGAGAGCUAAUGGGGAGAAUGAUCAUGUUUUGAGGAUUUUCGACGACGAAGCUCAGGCAAUGCAGUCUGCUCGUAAUUCAUCCCGGAUGCUUGAAGAGUCUCUUCAAACUGGAGUAGCUAUACUCUCAAAAUAUUCUGAGCAAAGGGAACGUUUGAAGAAAGUACAACGCAAAGCACUGGACGUUCUCAACACGGUGGGGCUCUCCAACUCUGUGUUGAAGCUCAUCGAGAGGCGCCACCGGGUCGAUGUAUGGAUCAAAUAUGCAGGCAUGAUAGUGACAGUCAUCAUCUUGUUUGCCUUUUGGAGGUGGACGAGAUGAGUCGCAGUGACUUCAGAGGCCACAUUGAACAUCUCACUCUCCUUAAAUCGAUCUGAUGUGUAUGGUUCCCUGGUAGAGCAGUCAUCUGAAAUGUAGAUAAGCAACUUUUUGUGGCGAACAUCUGGUGGGGGAAAAAUCGAAUGCCAGGAGAUGUUGAGGAUGAUGGCUACCUCUAUACACAUGCGGUCUUAAAAUUUGUGCUGAAGUUGCAAAGACCAAUAUAUCAGUUGAUGGUGGAUUUGAACUCCUGAGCUCCUAGCACGGUCCUUGGUUCCGAAUACGAUAUCUGAAGAUAGUGAAGGAUGGAUUUUCCCGCUUUGUGGUGCCAACGACACGGUUUGAAGUCUGAACCAUGUGGUGAUGAGCAAUUGAUGUUUAUUAACGGCAUAUUUUGAGCCCACUGAGCUGCGAGAAGUAGUUUAGACUUCUGGAUGCCAUCUCUCAGAAGCGUUUCAUUAAAUAUACAUUCCGGGAAUGUCGUUGAAGUUCGCAAUUUGAGUUCUGCUGGUCUCCUCUCGUUCAAUAUCAUUGUUGAAGCUCACUUAUUGUUAGAUCAUGUUUAGAAGGUGAAUUUGAGACGGAUUAGAAUAAUAAUAAUGACAGUAAAUAGAGAAAUAGUGUACCCUUGCUUUGCAUUUGGAGAAAAUAUCAUACGAGACUAACACAUAUACUGUGGUGUUAAAGUCUCAAUUUAGUGUCUA